AAUCGGUUGGGGUGUUUUUCAGGUGUGUGGGUGGUUUAGUUUUUUCGCUGUUUGGGGCCAUAUUGCUUUUAUGAGCUGUGACACUCACCGCGAAAGUCUGCGAAGCUUCAUUCAUGUAAGCCCCCGAGACCACGAACCUGCCGAGAGGAACGAACAAUUGUAGACGCGCCGCCUUAAGAGCUCUAACACUCACCGCGAAGGUCCGCAACUUCACUCCUGAGCCAGCGAGACCAGGAACCCACCAGAAGGAAAAAACUCUGGAACACAUCGGAAUAUCAGAAAGAACAAACUCCAGACACGCCGCCUUUAACAACUGUAACACUCACAGCGAGUGUCUGCACUUCAUUCUUGAAGUUAGUAAGAUCAAGAACCCACCACUUCCGGACACAAAAGUAAGGGGAUUACAGGUGGGAGCCCCCGCGCCUAGCCCAAACUGGCGCUGAUUCUUCAUUUGUAUAUCGCAGUUAGUAAAAGGGCUCCCUGACCCCUAGCCUUGAAUUUGGGGAGUAAUUUGAUAUUCUUGAUCAUCACUACCUCCUUUGUAAUAUAUUCUUUCAAAGUAUGUCUGUUUCCCUUUCCCCCAGUACUUGUCAGUAUUUUGUUUGUGGGGCGCGGGGGGGGUCUCAUUCUAUUGCCCAGGCUGGAGUGCAGUGGCGUGAUCUUGGCUCACUGCAACCUCUGCUUCCUGGGUUCAAGCGAUUCUUCUGUCUUCUGAGUAGCUGGGAUUAUAGGUGAGCGACACCACGCCUGGCUAAUUUUUGUAUUUUUAGUGGCGAUGAGGUUUCAUCAUGUUGGCUAGGCUGGUUUUGAACUCCUCACCUGAAGUAAUCUGUUCACCUCGGCCUCCCAAAGUGCUGGGAUUAAGAGGUGUCAACCACCGUGCCUAGCUAAAUGUUUGCAUUUUUUAUGGAGACGGGGUUUCACCAUGUUGCCCAGGCUGGUCUCAAACUCCUAGGCUCAAGCAAUCUGCUUGCCUUGGCCUCCUAAAGUGCUGGGACUGCAGGUACGAGCCACUGCACUCAGCCUAAGGCAUUUUCUUUUCUUUAAAUUUAUUUUUAUAUCUUACUUUAUUCAUUUAUUUUUCGAGAUGGAGUCCUGCUCUGUCACCCAGGGUGGAGUGCAGUGGCGUGCUCUUGGCUCACUGCGUCCUCCGCCUCCUGGGUUCAAGCAAUUCUCCUGUCUCAGCCUCCCGAGUAGCUGGGAUUGCAGGCAUGUACCACCACAUCUGACUAUUUUUUCUAUUUUUAGUAGGGACAGGGUUUCACCAUGUUGGCCAGGCGGGUCUCGAACUCCUGACCUCAAGUAAUCCACACGCCUUGGCCUCCUAAAGUGCUGGCAUUACAGGCGUGAGCCACCAUGCCCAGCUGUAUUUUAUUUUAUAGAGACAGGGUUUCACUGUGUUACCCAGGUUAGUCUUGAACUCCUGGACUCAAGUGAUCCUCUUGCCUUGACCUCCCAAUGUGCUGGG
rnacentral:lncRNA from 1 species